rnacentral:rRNA from 1 species
CAGCCGCCACGGUAAUACAGAGGGUGCGAGCGUUAAUCGGAUUUACUGGGCGUAAAGCGUGCGUAGGCGGCUAAUUGAGUCGGAUGUGAAAUCCCCGAGCUUAACUUGGGAAUUGCAUUCGAUACUGGUUAGCUAGAGUGUGUGAGAGGAUGGUAGAAUUCCAGGUGUAGCGGUGAAAUGCGUAGAGAUCUGGAGGAAUACCGAUGGCGAAGGCAGCCAUCUGGCCUAACACUGACGCUGAGGUACGAAAGCAUGGGGAGCAAACAGGAUUAGAUACCCCCGUAGUCCCUGUCUCUUAUAC